rnacentral:lncRNA from 1 species
CUGUUUGUGGAUUAUUGACUAUUAUAAAAACAACAAUAGGAAAAAUGAUAUAUAUUAAUUAUAGUAGGGGAAUUGAUAAUGUGCCUAUUAAUUAAUACUCUCACGCCUAUACCAAAACAUUUUCCAAUAACAUUAAGAAACUUUUCGUUACUUGCAUAUAUAACAGCAGAACGCCAGAAUCAAAUGAUCACAAUGCAAAUAUGAAGAGUAGAUGUGGUGCGUUCAAAGGUAAAACCUCCGUGGGAGGUGCCUACAAAAGAUCUGGAUUUGAAUUUCAUAAUUGUUGGGGAAGACUAUAAUGCGAUAAGUAAUGGACAUAAAAAUAAAAAUAAAAAUAAAAAUAAAAAUAAAAAAAGAGUCCAAUCAAAGGGUAAAGAUUAAUUAGUUUAUGUGUAAUUGUAUGUGUCUGACUCUAAAAAAUAUUUUAGACAAAAUUAUAAUAUCGCAGAAAAUAAUGAUUGAAUGUAUCUUUUAUGUAAUAAAAAUUACUAGUGUGGGAUACGUUAAAAUAAUCUUGUGAUAUAAAAAAUGACUUAAAAUUUUUAAUGGAGUAAAUGCUCCUUUAGUCUUUAAUAUUUAAGCUUGUUAUCAAGUUAUUCCGAUAUUUUAAAAGAUUACUGAAAAUACUCAUGUCAUAUCUUGUUCUCUUUAAAAUUUGCUUAAUGAUUCUCUACUUUUUUUAAUGGAAUAUAGUUAUGUGAACCAUCUUAUCUGAUUAACUACUAGAAAAAUAGGCUAUCAUGAUAGAAUUUUUGUGAUAGAUAAUAAAAAAUUAGUCAUUUAUCACAAGAAUUUGAUAGUUAUGUGACAGAAUUUUCAUACAUCAUAAAGACAUGAUAGAUUUGUGAUAGCUUAUUUAUCUAUCACACACGUAUGAUAGCAUAUUGACAUUUAAUGAAACGGUGACUUUUGCAUGGACAAAUUUGGACAUGAAACGACACCGUAUCUUGAAACCACCAAAAAAAAUAAAAAUUGUAAGUGUUGAACACUCCUUUCACAUAGAAAUUUUAUCCUAAAGGAGUUAAAUGACAAAUAUUCUCUAUUAUAGUAGCCCAUUUUCCUAGUACUAUUUGAAACCUAACAAAAUCCUUUUUUUUUCCUUUUUGUCUUCGUUUUAACACUAUCUUUACAUCUAUCGGCUGAGAAUUUCGUCAUGAAUGAAUAUGAAUCACAAAUCUUUGCUUUGACGAGAGGCCUGACCCCUCCAAGGCUCCAAACACAAAGAUUGUUCUGAAAAUAGUAUACACACACGCACACCACUGCUUGGUUGUGACACUCAAGCGACCCGCGCUAAACAUCGAUGCAAAGGUUAUAUUUCAUCCCCUCUAUCUCCAAGCCCCUUUACUAGGCUGGAUAUAUAUUUUAUGAGGAGAUAAAUGGUCAUUCUGUGAUUAAAUUCAACAUUUCAUCCACUAUUUUGCAGAGUUUUAGCUUAUAAUUAAAGAGAAAUUGUCGAGCAGCGGUGGAUAAUGUUAAAAUCUCAUCAUUAAUAAUGUAAUACCGAAUUUAUUAUGUAAUUGAUAUGGGAGGUGUUGGCAAUAUGACUACGGUAUUAAAAGGGAAUAAAAUUUUGGAUUUUAGGUUUGUGUUUGAUUCUUUUCCUCUUUAAUUGAAAUUGUAAUUUAUAAUGUAAUUGGGAGGUGUUGGCAAUUCAUCUAUUGUUAUUAAAAUUGAAGAAAUUUUUUUAUGUGACUUAGUACUCCCCAUUCAAUCCACUUUAAAUCCUUUUCUCUUGCAUUUGUCUUGUCAGAAUGAUGUUUUGCAAUAACCUUUUUGUGCUUUCAACUUAAAUCAAUGUAUAUUAUUUACCAUAUAUUGCUUUCAUAUAACAACUAAUUGUUCCUUAGAACAAUAAUUUUACAGUAUUAUUUUUUUUAAA